GGCUUGUUGAUUAUUAUUUCAAGUCUGACCUGCCCUAUGAUUUGAUUAAAUGGCCGCGGUAUUUUGACCGUGCAAAGGUAGCAUAAUCACUAGUUUUUUAAUUGAAAGCUUGAAUGAAAGGUUUGAUGAAAAAAUUUCUGUCUCUGGGAAGAUUUAUUAAAAUUUUAUUUUUAAGUUAGAAAGCUUAAAUUUAUAUAGAAGACGAGAAGACCCUAUAGAGUUUUAUAUUUUUGCAGUGGACUAAGUUUAAAGUGUAAAAAAUAUAGUUUUUUGUAAAAGGUAUUUUGUUGGGGUGAUGGGAAAAUUGAUAAAACUUUUCUUGUAUAGUUACAUUUAUGUGUGGGUUGAUGAUCCUAUAGUUUAGAUUAAAAGAUUAAAUUACCUUAGGGAUAACAGCGUUAUUUUUUUUAGAGUUCUUAUCAAAAAAAAAGUUUGCGACCUCGAUGUUGGAUUAAAGUAAGUUGUUGGUGUAGAAGCUAAUAUUCUAAGUCUGUUCGACUUUUAAAACUUUACAUGAUCUGAGUUUAAACCGGCGUGAG
rnacentral:rRNA from 1 species